CAGUCGCCGCGGUAACACGGAGGGGGCUAGCGUUGUUCGGAAUUACUGGGCGUAAAGCGCACGUAGGCGGCUUGGUAAGUUAGAGGUGAAAGCCCGGAGCUCAACUCCGGAAUUGCCUUUAAGACUGCCGAGCUAGUAGGUGAGAGAGGUAAGUGGAAUUCCGAGUGUAGAGGUGAAAUUCGUAGAUAUUCGGAAGAACACCAGUGGCGAAGGCAGCUCGCUGGGACGUGACUGACGCUGAGACGCGAAAGCGUGGGGAGCGAACAGGAUUAGAUACCCGAGUAGUCCCUGUCUCUUAUAC
rnacentral:rRNA from 1 species